GCCGGGCCGGCUUUGCGGCAGGACGCGGCCCCGCCGAGGAGGGGCCGAGCCGAGCCGGGCCGUGCCUGCGCGCCGGCGGCUCCGCUCCGCUCGGCUCGGCUUGGGCCGGGGGCGAGCUGCGGGGAGCCCCUUCCUCGGAGCAUGGGCGGCCAGGUAACCUGCUGUCACGAUGAGGUUACUUCACAGAGUGACUAAAGCCAACACGAUCAGUGGGUGUUAAGUCUCACAUCUGAAGACAAGGGUUGGUUUGGUUCUGUUCCACCACAAAGGAUUGUGGUUGGUGCAUGUCUUUGUUAAUCUCUACGUGUGCCAAGGGCAGGCGUGAAGCAGCUCUUUCCCUUGGGCCCCGUGGCAGCCCAGGAUAUGGAGGCUCUUGAAGUUGAUGACAUUAGCCCUGCCUUGGAAGUGACUGAAGACUUUUUCAAUAGUUUUGAUACUAAGCUUGAAAAGAUCGUUCAGCCCUCUGAGGUGUAUGGCGUGCAGGAGGUUCCUGAGCUGGUUGGGCAUGAGGUAUUUGAUCAGAUAACAGAAAGCAGGAAUCUGAGGAAUGUCACCUCCUUAGCCAAAAGUAACCUCAUCUGGGAUCACUGCAAAAAUGGCCUGUUGGAAACCAAAGCUCAGACAGCGUUUCCUGCCAAAGAGCAGCGCAUGGUGCAGAGGGGAACCGCUGCUGACAGCCUUGCUUGGGCAGGGGAAGGGGAGACUGCAGCUUUUAACAUCUUCAAUAUCUGCCAGCGGAGGAGAGACAGGCCUCGCUCAGUGAAUGACAUCCUGGUGCAGAAUGAGGAAUCCUCCAAGUUCAAGCCAGGGCACAACAGGUCGCGCUCUGAUAUCAGCCAUGUGAACUGGGGAAUGGUCUUCACGGGCACCUCUCUGCAGCGGCCACCUCUGCCUGGUCAGGACAAUAACUGCACUCUGCUCUCUUACCUGGCAUUAACCAAGGGAGAGGACAUCCAAGGAAACACAGAACACAAGACAACGUUUCCAAAUAUUCUGAAGAAGGGAUACUUAGAAAUUAGAAGAAACAAUGACAGCUACUGGCAAACGUGUUAUGCUGAGCUCUCCCCAUACAAACUGUACCUGUAUUGCCUGGACAGCAGUGGCAACCAGACUCUUCCCACCGUGUAUCCGCUCAUUAAUUUUCAAAGGGUCACUGUUACUGGUAGCAUUGAAGCCAAGGUGGUGGACGCUGCCCUGUCAGACAGCUCUCAGCUACAGCUGAAGGCAGAGUCCUCAUGGGAGGCUUUGGACUGGGGACGGAAACUCUGGGAAGCUGCGCGUGCUUCUGUGUCUACUUUCACAAGACAACAGGAGAAACUGGAGAAUGUGCCAAAGCCUGACAAUAGCAGUGACCUUUCUCAAACAAAUGGAUUGGUAGAGAAGCCCAUGGAACUUUUGCUGUCCAUGAAUUUGACUGAAAAUAAUAAAGAGUACCAAAAUAUUCUCAAAUCAGGGACUCUUUACAGGUUAACUGUCCAGAAUAACUGGAAGGCAUUUACUUUUGUCUUGAACAGGUCUUAUCUCAUGGCAUUCCAACCGGGUAGGCUUGAUGAAGAUCCUCUGCUGAGCUACAAUAUCGAUGUGUGCCUGUCAGUCCAGACAGAUACUCAGGAUGGCUGUGACUCUUGCUUUCAGGUCAUUUUUCCUCAAGAUGUCCUCCGCCUGCGAGCAGAGACCCGUCAGAGGGCCUUGGAGUGGAUGGAGGCACUGAGAGCAGCAGCCAAUGCCACUAGAAGUUUAGGUCAGAACAUGCAGGUCACGCUUCGGAACAAACCUGGAGAUCGGCCCUUUGGAAAUGAUUUUAGAAAGAGUAAGCGGCAGUCUGUGACCACCAGCUUCCUGAGCAUCCUGACCACGCUGUCUGUAGAGAGGGGGCUCACAGUUCAGAGCUUCAAGUGUGCAGGCUGUCAGCGCUCCAUAGGCUUGUCCAAUGGGAAGGCCAAAGUGUGCAGCUACAGUGGAUGGUAUUACUGCAGUACCUGCCAUGUGGAUGACAGCUUCCUCAUCCCUGCACGGCUGGUUCAUAACUGGGAUACUUCCAAGUACAAGGUAUCAAAGCAAGCCAAAGAGUUCUUGGAAUAUGUGUAUGAGGAGCCAUUGAUUGAUAUUCAGCAGGAAAAUCCCAUGCUGUAUAAGCACGCUGAACCUCUGGCAACCAUUGUCCGUCUGAGACAGCAGCUAAAAUCUCUGCGAGCCUAUUUGUUCAGCUGCAGAGCAGCAGUGGCUGAAGAUUUGCGUAGAAGGAUCUUUCCCAGAGAGUAUCUUCUCCAGCAAAUCCAUCUUUAUUCUCUGGCGGACCUCCAGCAGGUUAUUGAAGGAAAGUUGGCUCCUUUCUUGGGGAAGGUGAUCAAGUUUGCCACGUCUCAUGUGUAUAGCUGCAGUCUUUGUAGUCAAAAGGGUUUCAUCUGUGAGAUUUGCAACAAUGGAGAAAUCCUCUAUCCCUUUGAGGACAUUUCUACAAGCAGGCACCUUUGGACUUCAUCCCCAUGAUGAAAUGGCUGCAAGCAGUGGGUUAAUGUUUGAUCAGGACCACACAAGCUGCAUGGAAAAACCAUGUGCAAGACCUUCUUCCUCCUUAUUUGCUUUACAAGAAACCACUGCAUCCUAGUUGGAAAUGCACCCGGGAGUGAAAGGGGCGUCCGUGAGGACACAUGCUGCCAGCCCCUGCCCCGUCCUUGGGGCUAGAGCCAUGAGCAGGGCCGGGCCAGGCUUCCAAGCAGACCUGUCAGGCGUGUUGGAGCUUCAUGAACGCCUCUGCACAAGGAUUAAAGAGAACGUUAUGGGAAAGUCAGGCCUAAGCAAUGCUGCUGCACUAUUGCACUGUGGGAAACAGCAGCUCAGGACAGGGCAGCAGCCCUCCCAGCGCUGAGCUCUGAACAGGGCAGGCUGCCCACACAUGGCUGCCAGCCCCACUGUGCAAGCUCUUACCUCAAUUGCUCUUGUGGCCUCUUCUGCUUGCUCAGGUUAGUCUUGAUGCCUAUAUUCUUAUUCAGAAGCAAUGUUCUUGACAUUUAUUCCAUCCCUGAAGUGCCUGUCCUCUUAACUGCCAAACCCACACUGAAGUAGUUCUCAUAAAAUUCCCUUAGAAACAAAAUACAGUCUCCAUACACAAAGUUAGGGGCCCGCUGAAUCCCAAGGGACAGAUGUAGCCCAGAAAGAGUGAUUUACUCCCCAUACGGAUGACAAACACACAAUGCUUGUAUUAUUCUUGAUGGGUCAUGAUGUAGCUACUGUCUAAGCAAACUAUUUUCCUACCAUUUGAGGAGUACUACCCUGGAACUGAAUGCAGCCAGAGGUUAGCUCACCACAGAUUAAAUAUUGUUCAGAUGCUGGGUAGCAAGAAACAAGCAUUCCUGUCACAAGAUACAUCAUUCCUGUAGCUGAACAGAGGGAGCAGAGGUAGGUAACAUUCACUUUAAUUCUACUAUGAUUCCAAUUUUUAUUUUGCCUUUGUAAGAACAGAACCGCCAACACAUUAAGAAUAGCAGAAGUUACAGGGUGUCUCCUGUUCAGCUCACAGCAGACCCACCUAAACAGAAUUUUCUCUGAAACUGUCCUUCCCCUCAAAUGUGCUCUGUAAGUUUUACUUUUUAUUGGUUACUUAAGAAAUGCUGUAAGUUUGUUUUUCAGGCUUUCUUUCAGAUAGACUAGAAUGUGAAAUGUUAAAGGGAAUUGCUGUUUUCACUCUCUUAAGAGGUCACGUUGUAGUCGAGCUCUAUUUAGCAUCUGCUGAACAGAUCAAAAUCCUAUUGACUAAGUGCUCUGGGCUAAGCUACAGAAAAACUGGAGCCAGUUAAGGCUCUAGACAAAAUUAAGUUAGGAGCAGCAGUCUCCUGGAAGACAGAAUACAGAAGCAGCUGUCAGCUUGAGUUGUCAUUUACCUGCCAGCCAGAUCAGCAGGAAGAGCCUUCAUCUCCUUUGGCAAAAAGGUAAAGGCCUGCCACGAGUUGCUGCUGUGCACCUUGGAGCUGAAUGGCUGUAUCUGCAAAAACCAUGUGCCAACCCACAGUGAAGUGAAUCCAGACUGACCUCACAAAGUUGAGGGCACCUGGCAGUGCUAAGGAAAGAAAAGCUCAUUAGCAAUUAGGUCACAAGUCAAUCCAGGAGUUGGUCACUCAUAGCUUCCAAUUUAGCACUCCUCAAGGGAGGACUUAAAAACAUAAAAUCACCUCCAGACAGAUUCACCCUACUUAAAGUCAUUUAUGUGCAAAGAAACUGUCAGUGAUUAGUUAACUGGAGCAGCCCAAGUCCGAUUCCAAGUGGAAGCGACGCAGGGGAAUAGCUGGGCAGCCACAUAAGGCUCCUGCCACUCCUUCAGCGGAAGCUGGCUGCCAGGGCCCUGCCCGAUGCUGCAGACCAAGCAGCUCGAAGUUGCCAAAUGACCUCUGCUGCUGGCUCCAGAGACGUUCACAAGUAACUGCAGUAAAAUGAACACAAGGUGCUGAUACAGGGAAAGGGGAAGGCCCUAACGCACACCGCUGAUCCCCCGCCCCCUUUUUCCGUAACUUGAAAGAAACUGCAUAGCACCAAAUACUUGUGAGGGGAAUGAAAUCAGACAACUGUACAGAACACACAAUUUACCUUUAUCUUUAAUUAAAAUAGAGUUUAUUAGCUUUUCUUUUAAUACAAACAUGAGAAAGGAAAACCACCUGAAGAUGUAGCAGUAUUUUCAAAAUUGAAUUGUGAUCAAUACCUGAAGUGCCAAGUUCCAUGGAUUUGAGAGCCAGGGGCUGGCAUAUUUGCAUACCACAAAAGACUUUAUGCAUCAUUUUAACAGUUGAGUGCAGCCAAACUGAUUAUUGCACUCAGACACCCCCACUCUCAAAAGUGUAUGGACUUGCUAUUCAGUGUAAGUUUCUGGACCUUGGCUGGAAGAGGAAGUGCACAGAAACCAUGCCAUUUGGAGGGAGAUCUGCUCCUAGGACAAACUGCCUAGAAUCUAUUUGGAUCCAAGAAGGGAAGAUAUCACAAAGACUUGUAACAGGAAGAGUCUAAUAAUACUUAUCCUGUUUAGAGUUCAGGUUCAGAGCCUGAAAGUGAGGUCCCAUUCCAAAGUCUCAGAACAAAACCCAAGCCUCAAGAACAUUUGCGCAAGAUAAAAUUCACUUUGGGGAAAAAAAGGUUUUAAAGAAAUAUUUUUGACAAUUAU